AACUUUAUAGUUUAUUAGAAUAUUUGAGUUGCGCUUAGAUGGUAGUUUAUACUUGAAGUUU
rnacentral:tRNA from 1 species